rnacentral:rRNA from 1 species
AACGCUAGCUACAGGCUUAACACAUGCAAGUCGAGGGGCAGCAUGGUCUUAGCUUGCUAAGGCCGAUGGCGACCGGCGCACGGGUGAGUAACACGUAUCCAACCUGCCGUCUACUCUUGGACAGCCUUCUGAAAGGAAGAUUAAUACAAGAUGGCAUCAUGAGUCCGCAUGUUCACAUGAUUAAAGGUAUUCCGGUAGACGAUGGGGAUGCGUUCCAUUAGAUAGUAGGCGGGGUAACGGCCCACCUAGUCUUCGAUGGAUAGGGGUUCUGAGAGGAAGGUCCCCCACAUUGGAACUGAGACACGGUCCAAACUCCUACGGGAGGCAGCAGUGAGGAAUAUUGGUCAAUGGGCGAGAGCCUGAACCAGCCAAGUAGCGUGAAGGAUGACUGCCCUAUGGGUUGUAAACUUCUUUUAUAAAGGAAUAAAGUCGGGUAUGGAUACCCGUUUGCAUGUACUUUAUGAAUAAGGAUCGGCUAACUCCGUGCCAGCAGCCGCGGUAAUACGGAGGGUCCGAGCGUUAUCCGGAUUUAUUGGGUUUAAAGGGAGCGUAGAUGGAUGUUUAAGUCAGUUGUGAAAGUUUGCGGCUCAACCGUAAAAUUGCAGUUGAUACUGGAUAUCUUGAGUGCAGUUGAGGCAGGCGGAAUUCGUGGUGUAGCGGUGAAAUGCUUAGAUAUCACGAAGAACUCCGAUUGCGAAGGCAGCCUGCUAAGCUGCAACUGACAUUGAGGCUCGAAAGUGUGGGUAUCAAACAGGAUUAGAUACCCUGGUAGUCCACACGGUAAACGAUGAAUACUCGCUGUUUGCGAUAUACUGCAAGCGGCCAAGCGAAAGCGUUAAGUAUUCCACCUGGGGAGUACGCCAGCAACGGUGAAACUCAAAGGAAUUGACGGGGGCCCGCACAAGCGGAGGAACAUGUGGUUUAAUUCGAUGAUACGCGAGGAACCUUACCCGGGCUUAAAUUGCAGAUGAAUUACGGUGAAAGCCGUAAGCCGCAAGGCAUCUGUGAAGGUGCUGCAUGGUUGUCGUCAGCUCGUGCCGUGAGGUGUCGGCUUAAGUGCCAUAACGAGCGCAACCCUUGUUGUCAGUUACUAACAGGUUCCGCUGAGGACUCUGACAAGACUGCCAUCGUAAGAUGUGAGGAAGGUGGGGAUGACGUCAAAUCAGCACGGCCCUUACGUCCGGGGCUACACACGUGUUACAAUGGGGGGUACAGAGGGCCGCUACCACGCGAGUGGAUGCCAAUCCCCAAAACCUCUCUCAGUUCGGACUGGAGUCUGCAACCCGACUCCACGAAGCUGGAUUCGCUAGUAAUCGCGCAUCAGCCACGGCGCGGUGAAUACGUUCCCGGGCCUUGUACACACCGCCCGUCAAGCCAUGGGAGCCGGGGGUACCUGAAGUGCGUAACCGCGAGGAGCGCCCUAGGGUAAAACUGGUGACUGGGGCUAAGU